UGUCGAAUGAUCUUAUAAUAUUAGUCAAAGGACAACCUAUUUAUAUUCACUAUCCUUAAGAUUCGUUGUCAGUAUUUUAAAAAUAUGUUUCAACAUGAUUGGACUGAAAAUAUUCAAAGCAUAUCGGAUUCAGUGUACACGGUAUCAGAGAAAUUUUCUUACGUCGUUUAUAAAGCCUUCUUGAAAUAUUUAUAUACCGGCAUAAUCGAUUUACCUUCGGAGAAUGCAUUAAAACUUAUGGAAUUGGCCGAUACGUAUUGU